rnacentral:rRNA from 1 species
CCUACGGGUGGCAGCAGUGGGGGAUAUUGCACAAUGGGGGAAACCCUGAUGCAGCGACGCCGCGUGUGGGAAGACGGUCCUCUGGAUUGUAAACCACUGUCCCCAGGGACGAAGAUGACGGUACCUGGGGAGGAAGCUCCGGCUAACUACGUGCCAGCAGCCGCGGUAAUACGUAGGGAGCGAGCGUUGUCCGGAAUUACUGGGUGAAAAGGGAGCGUAGGCGGGGAUGCAAGUUGGGUGGCAAAACUACCGGCUCAACUGGUAGUCGCACUCAAAACUGCAGCUCUUGAGUGAAGUAGAGGCAGGCGGAAUUCCUAGUGUAGCGGUGAAAUGCGUAGAGAUUAGGAGGAACACCAGUGGCGAAGGCGGCCUGCUGGACUUUUACUGACGCUGAGGCGCGAAAGUGUGGGGAGCAAACAGGAUUAGAUACCCUUGUAGUC